UGGGGAAUAUUGCACAAUGGGCGCAAGCCUGAUGCAGCCAUGCCGCGUGUGUGAAGAAGGCCUUCGGGUUGUAAAGCACUUUCAGCGAGGAGGAAGGUGGUGAGCUUAAUACGCUCAUCAAUUGACGUUACUCGCAGAAGAAGCACCGGCUAACUCCGUGCCAGCAGCCGCGGUAAUACGGAGGGUGCAAGCGUUAAUCGGAAUUACUGGGCGUAAAGCGCACGCAGGCGGUUUGUUAAGUCAGAUGUGAAAUCCCCGGGCUCAACCUGGGAACUGCAUUUGAAACUGGCAAGCUAGAGUCUCGUAGAGGGGGGUAGAAUUCCAGGUGUAGCGGUGAAAUGCGUAGAGAUCUGGAGGAAUACCGGUGGCGAAGGCGGCCCCCUGGACGAAGACUGACGCUCAGGUGCGAAAGCGUGGGGAGCAAACAGGAUUAGAUACCCCUGGUAGUCCACGCUGUAAACGAUGUCGAUUUUGGAGGUUGUGCCCUUGAGGCGUGGCUUCCGGAGCUAACGCGUUAAAUCGACCGCCUGGGGAGUACGG
rnacentral:rRNA from 1 species